rfam:Ictidomys tridecemlineatus contig045253, whole genome shotgun sequence.
GGGGAUGCAGCUCAGUUGUUAGAGUGCCUGCCUCACAUGCACACGCCCUGGGUUCAAUCCCCAGCACCACCA